CGAACGGGUGAGUAACGCGUGAGGAACCUGCCUCAAAGAGGGGGACAACAGUUGGAAACGACUGCUAAUACCGCAUAAGCCCACGGCUCGGCAUCGAGCAGAGGGAAAAGGAGUGAUCCGCUUUGAGAUGGCCUCGCGUCCGAUUAGCUAGUUGGUGAGGUAACGGCCCACCAAGGCGACGAUCGGUAGCCGGACUGAGAGGUUGAACGGCCACAUUGGGACUGAGACACGGCCCAG
rnacentral:rRNA from 1 species